AAUAGAUACCCCGGUAGUCCACGCCGUAAACGAUGGGCACUAGGUGUAGGGGGUGUCGACUCCCCCUGUGCCGAAGCUAACGCAUUAAGUGCCCCGCCUGGGGAGUACGGCCGCAAGGCUAAAACUCAAAGGAAUUGACGGGGGGCCCGCACAAGCAGCGGAGCAUGUGGUUUAAUUGGACGCAACGCCAAGAACCUUACCCGGGCUUGACAUGUUCCUGACCGGCCUGGAAACAGGUCUUCCCUUCGGGGCAGGAUCACAGGUGGUGCAUGGCUGUCGUCAGCUCGUGUCGUGAGAUGUUGGGUUAAGUCCCGCAACGAGCGCAACCCCCGUCGCAUGUUGCCAGCAUUAAGUUGGGGACUCAUGCGAGACUGCCGGUGACAAACCGGAGGAAGGUGGGGAUGACGUCAAGUCAUCAUGCCCCUUAUGUCCGGGGCUACACACGUGCUACAUUGGCGCGUACAGAGGCUGCGAUACCGCGAGGUGAGCGAAUCCGUAAAGCGCGUCUCGGUUCGGAUUGCAGGCUGAAACUCG
rnacentral:rRNA from 1 species